UGUUACAAAGAGUUGUUCAGUAUUCUCUGAUCAGGUCCAGGAAGACCCUAAAGUCAGAGGUACAGCAGAACCAGAGGGCACACAGCCGAGCCCUGCAGCCAGGGACAGGUACAGAACAGGCCAUGGGUGAGCACUUUGUUCUACCACACAUUCCCACCAUGAUAUGCUGCUUUAUCAUAGGCCCAAACGAAGCAAGACAAUCAAGCAUGGACUGAAAAUUCUAAGACUCUUCCAGCUUCUUGGCAAGAGCAACUACUGGGUCUUCCUGCUCUCCAGCCUGCAGCCAGCCAUCAUGGCCUCUCCUGCCCUGAUCCUGUGAGCCUAUCUAGCCAACCCCCACAUGUACUCCACUGCUCUGACAACUCUAGCCAGGACAGUACCUCUAUCACCCCUACUCACUUUUAGGCCUUC